rnacentral:snRNA from 1 species
GUACUCGAUUCAGCAGCACAUAUACUAAAAUUGGAACGAUACAGAGAAGAUUAGCAUGG